AUGACGAAGCGCAAGCGCUCAGAGGAGCGGGGCUGCCGCACUGUCAGGCAGCUGCGGCCGGCGAAGGAGCCGAAGCAGCAUCUCUACCUGCUGCUGGAAGACUGGGAGAGGGGAUACGGCAUCCACAGGCUGGACGUCGAAGCUUUCGACUCCGACACCAACACCGGCCUGCCGCCCAAGCGCUUCACACCGCACGUGAGGUCCUGGAACUUCAUCUCCCACGCCUCCAAGAUCUUCGCCAUGAAGGCCAAGGAGGCCAGCCCUGCCAUCCCGGCCUUCGACACGCGCACGAUGAGCCUCACCAUCUGCCCGUGGCCCUCCUGCCGUGCCGACUACCUGGAAGACCGCACCGAGUACCUUGCCAGCCCGCCACCCUACGACAGCAGCGCUCCUUGGUCUUGGUCCACCAUCAACUCCCCGCUGCCUUUCUACAACGUGCAAAUCGCGUGUUAUGCCUUGCACCCGGACGGCCGCACCCUCUUCGUGUCCGCCGGCCGCCGGCGCAAGAAUCGGCCGAGUACAUUCUCCUUCGACGCCGAGCGCCUCGAGUGAACCCACCAUGGCAACUGGCUAUUGCCUUUUGCAGGCCAAGCCUACUUCGACGCCGAGUUGGAGGCGUGGGUCAGCCUCGCCCGCGACAAGGAGAGCUCUGGCUACCUCUGUUCCUGCGAUGUGCCACCAGUCGAUGCCAAGGUAACGAGCCCUCCGUCUUGGAAGCUUGGCCAGGAUAAGAUGUUCUGCAAGGAGUUUGAGUUGCACCGGGGCGCCAAGCUUGUCUACAUGGGUGACAGCAAGUUCUGCCUCAUUGAGUCCCUGUUCCACAAGGAUGACCAGCAUUUGCAGAUGGAUCUCGGCGAAAACUGCCCGCCUAGCCGGCGCCGCGUGCUCCACAUGACCACAUUUGGCCUCAAGUACAAUAAAGCAGGAAACUUGCAGAUCAUGCCGCGACAAGCUCACGCGUGCAUGAUGUUUAAGCGGCAUCAUGAUCUCACGGAGCCAUCACUGGAGCCUUUGGCAUUCUAG
rnacentral:rRNA from 1 species